rnacentral:rRNA from 1 species
AGCGAACGCUGGCGGCAGGCUUAACACAUGCCAGUCGAGCGGGCACUUUCGGGUGUCAGCGGCGGACGGGUGAGUAACGCGUGGGAACGUGCCCUCUGGUUCGGAAUAACUCAGGGAAACUUGAGCUAAUACCGGAUACGCCCUUUUGGGGAAAGGCUUGCUGCCGGAGGAUCGGCCCGCGUCUGAUUAGCUAGUUGGUGAGGUAACGGCUCACCAAGGCGACGAUCAGUAGUUGGUCUGAGAGGAUGAGCAGCCACACUGGGACUGAGACACGGCCCAGACUCCUACGGGAGGCAGCAGUGGGGAAUAUUGGACAAUGGGCGCAAGCCUGAUCCAGCCAUGCCGCGUGAGUGAUCAAGGCCUUAGGGUUGUAAAGCUCUUUUAUCCGGGACGAUAAUGACGGUACCGGAGGAAUAAGCCCCGGCUAACUUCGUG